rnacentral:lncRNA from 1 species
AAUAUUUACUAGAACACACCCGUGAUAUCGCGGGUCCGUGACUGAAGUAAAGUAUAUAACUAUGCGCAAGCCUUAUCUUAGUAUUAGUACUGUCAUCUGAUAAAGUCAUGCCGAUUAUAAGAUACACAAUUUUCUCUGCUUUCAAAUCUUUCUGUUUGAACCCGUCGAACUGGAACUUAUCAAUUAUUGGUAAUAUUAAAUAUUUGGAAAACAAAAGGUCCUGGAAUGGAGUAUUUUUUAAUCAACAGCAUUGUCCUAUAUUAGUUAUAAAUAAAGUUGAAUUCUUUGAUUCGCUGUUUUACGUCAUGCCCGCUAACAAAUUGAAACUUAUUUUCAGUCCAGAUUUUUAGUAUUCGUAUUGUUAUCUUAGAAAGUCUUACGGAUUAAAAUACUACAAUAGGUAACAAUUUGACAAUUUAGUAGUGUCAACCCUGUGAUUAUGACCCGUUUAUAUAGCAUAUUAAUCCUGAAUACAUCGUUUGGUGGUGCGCCUGUCAGAUGCGGAACGUACAGAUAAGGUAAUAGGUAACAG